rnacentral:tRNA from 1 species
GCGGGCGUAGUAUAGUGGCAGUACGUGAGCUUCCCAAGCUUGAAGUGAGAGUUCGAUUCUCUCCGCCCGCACCA